CCUACGGGCGGCAGCAGUGAGGAAUAUUGGUCAAUGGGCGAGAGCCUGAACCAGCCAAGUCGCGUGAAGGAUGACGGCCCUACGGGUUGUAAACUUCUUUUGUCAGGGAGCAAUUGGGUCCACGCGUGGGCUUAGCGAGAGUACCUGAAGAAAAAGCAUCGGCAAACUACGUGCCAGCAGCCGCGGUCAUACGGAGGAUGCGAGCGUUAUCCGGAUGUAUUGGGUUUAACGGGUGCGUAGGCGGAAUAUCAAGUCAGCGGUAAAAAUUCGGGGCUCAACCCCGUCGUGCCGUUGAAACUGAUGUGCUAGAGUGGGCGAGAGGUAUGCGGAAUGCGUGGUGUAGCGGUGAAAUGCAUAGAGAUCACGCAGAACUCCGAUUGCGAAGGCAGCAUACCGGCGCCCAACUGACGCUGAGGCACGAAAGCGUGGGUAUCGAACAGGAUUAGAUACCCGGGUAGUC
rnacentral:rRNA from 1 species